rnacentral:rRNA from 1 species
UGGCCUUUGGAUUGGACUGCGUCCGAUCAGGCUGUUGGUGAGGUAAUGGCCCACCAAACCUGUAACCGGUACGGGCUCUGAGAGGAGGAGCCCGGAGAUGGGUACUGAGAAAAGGACCCAGGCCCUAUGGGGCGCAGCAGGCGCGAAACCUCUGCAAUAGGCGAAAGCCUGACAGGGUUACUCUGAGUGACUUUCGCUAAGAAAGUCUUUUGACACCUCUAAAAAUGGUGUAGAAUAAGGGGUGGGCAAGUCUGGUGUCAGCCGCCGCGGUAAUACCAGCACCCCGAGUGGUCGGGACGAUUAUUGGGCCUAAAGCAUCCGUAGCCGGUUUUACAAGUCCUCCGUUAAAUCCAGCUGCUUAACAGAUGGGCUGCGGAGGAUACUAUAAGACUAGGAGGCAGGAGAGGCAAGCGGUACUCAGUGGGUAGGGGUAAAAUCCGUUGAUCCAUUGAAGACCACCAGUGGCGAAGGCGGCUUGCCAGAAUGCGCUCGACGGUGAGGGAUGAAAGCUGGGGGAGCAAACCGGAUUAGAUACCCGGGUAGUCCCAGCUGUAAACGAUGCAGACUCGGUGAUGGACUAGCUUUAUGCUAGUCCAGUGCCGCAGGGAAGCCGUUAAGUCUGCCGCCUGGGUAGUACGGUCGCAAGACUGAAACUUAAAGGAAUUGGCGGGGGAGCA